rnacentral:rRNA from 1 species
AGGGACUUGUAUGAAUGGCCCCACGAGGGUUUAACUGUCUCUUACUUUUAAUCAGUGAAAUUGACCUUCCCGUGAAGAGGCGGGAAUAUAACAAUAAGACGAGAAGACCCUAUGGAGCUUAAAUUAAUGUGCUCAACAAAAUUUAAAUUUAGCCCAAUAGGAGUAAUCAUAAUUUAACUGAGCAACAAAUUUUGGUUGGGGUGACCUCGGAGUAUAACAAAACCUCCGAGUGAUUUUAACUAAGACAUACUCGUCAAGGUUACAUAACUUAUUGAUCCAAUCAUAUUGAUCAACGAAACAAGUUACCCUAGGGAUAACAGCGCAAUCCUAUUCGAGAGUUCAUAUCGACAAUAGGGUUUACGACCUCGAUGUUGGAUCAGGACACCCAAAUGGUGCAGCAGCU